UAGAUUUGGUUACUGCGCUCCUCCAAGCCAGUUACCGCGGUUCAAAGAGUUGGUAGCUCAGAGAACCUUCGAAAAACCGCCUUGCAGGGCGGUUUUUUCGUUUAC
rnacentral:antisense_RNA from 1 species